rnacentral:tRNA from 1 species
CGGACGAUAGCUCAGUUGGUAGAGCGGUGGACUGUAGAUCCAUAGGUCGGUGGUUCAAAUCCGCCUCGUCGGA